AGGUGCUGCCCCGUGCCACCCUGAAUGUGCCCGAUCGCAUCAGAUCUCAGAAGCUAAGCAUGGUCGGGCCUGGCUAGUACUUGGAUGGGAGAAAAGGUGCUGCCCCUG
rnacentral:rRNA from 1 species